AUGAAGGUGGUCAAGAGGAGGCUGUCGCAGGCGCUCAUCGUCCACACCAUGGCCUACCCCUACAAGAUGGAGCACAUCCCCGCCGACCGCCUGGCCAAGCACUCCAAGUUCUUCCGCGAGUUCUACGCUGAAAGCAAGCAGACGGCCGACAAGAUCGUGGCCUACCAGCGGGGACUCAUCGACCAGUACAAGGCCAAGGGCUACGCGGAGGAGGACAGGGAGGUCACCGACGACGAGGAGGAGACGGUGGAGAGCUAG
rnacentral:rRNA from 1 species